ACGCUCGACACCUACGGGUGGCAGCAGUGGGGAAUAUUGCACAAUGGGGGAAACCCUGAUGCAGCGACGCCGCGUGAGCGAAGAAGUAUUUCGGUAUGUAAAGCUCUAUCAGCAGGGAAGAAAAUGACGGUACCUGACUAAGAAGCCCCGGCUAACUACGUGCCAGUAGCCGCGGUAAUCUGAGCGGGCUGGCAAGGC
rnacentral:rRNA from 1 species